AGCAGCCGCGGUAAUUCCAGCUCCAAUAGCGUAUAUUAAAGUUGUUGCAGUUAAAAAGCUCGUAGUUGAAUUUCGGGAUCAAUUCGUCGGUCGUGCUUUCGGGUACGUACUGGUGUUAUUGGUUUCUCCCUUCUGACGAACCAUGAUGUCAUUAAUUUGGUGUUAUGGGGAGUUAGGACUGUUACUUUGAAAAAAUUAGAGUGUUUAAAGCAGGCAUUAGCUUGAAUACAUUAGCAUGGAAUAAUGAAAUAGGACGUUCGAUCCUAUUUUGUUGGCUUCUAGGAUCAACGUAAUGAUUAAUAGGGAUAGUUGGGGGCAUUAGUAUUCAAUUGUCAGAGGUGAAAUUCUUGGAUUUUAUUGAAGACUAAACUACUGCGAAAGCAAUUUGCCAAGGGUGUUUUAUUAAUCAAGAACGAAAGUUAGGGGAUCGAAGACGAUCAGAUACCAUCGUAGUCUUAACCAUAAACUAUGCCGACUAGGAAUCGGAUGAUGUCAAUUUUUAAUGACUCAUUCGGCGCCU
rnacentral:rRNA from 1 species